CAGUAGCCGCGGGAAGAAAGAGGAUGCAAGCGUUAUCUGGAAUGAUUGGACGUAAAGCAUCUGUAGGUGGCUUUUCAAGUUCGUCGCCAAAUCCCAAGGCUCAACCCUGGACAGGCGGUGGAAACUAGCAAGCUAGAGUACAAUAGGGGCAGAGGGAAUUUCUAGUGGAGCGGUGAAAUGCAUUGAGAUCGGAAAGAACACGAACGGUGAAAGCACUCUGCUGGGCCGACACUGACACUGAGAGAUGAAAACUAGGGGAGAAAAUGGUAUUAGAUACCCCUGUAGUCCCUGUCUCUUAUAC
rnacentral:rRNA from 1 species